GUUUUAUCUGAUCAUUUAUACAUGGUUUUUAUAUUAAUAUCAAAUUAAUUUUAAUCAAGCUCGCCAUCUUUUGUAAAAAGACUGGGAGUCUCUAAAAUACAAUAGUUAAUAAAAUAAAAAAACAAAAGUUUAUUUGUUAAUACACUUAAAAUUAUAAAUACACUUACAGAGUGUAUCUCUACAACAAUCGUAAUAGAAUUACUGGUAUUAAUGUCAUUUGUAACACGUACAAAAUUCUGAAGGCUGCAAUGACAUCUCAAUCAGUUCUAAUAGUUUAAAUAAAAAUUAUUUUGUAUUGAUUAAUUUUUAGUUAGGUAUAAGAAUUUAUUUAAACCUGACGGUGAAAAUUUAUAUAGAAUUAAUACAACCUAUCAUUUUAUAUGGAUCUAAAACAUGGGUUCUAAGACGGAUGAACUGAGACUAAAGGUUUUUGAAAGGAAAAUCCUAAGGCGUAUAUUUGGCUUGUACCAGGAUGCUAUAAUAGGACAAUAGAGAAGACAGCAUAAUGGAGAACUCCAAAAUCUAUCCCAAAGAUCGUGUAUUAUAAGGGAAAUCAAGAAAAAAAGACUAAGGUGGGCUAGCCAUGUUCGGCGAAAAAAUUAUUAAAGCUGUGAUCAAUGAAUAUCCGAUGGGGAAAAGGCCUCACCUUAGAUGAGAUGAUUUUGUUAAAAAGUAUGUAGUGACAGAGGUCCCAGAGGUGAAUUAGAGAAAAUUGGCGGAAGAUAGAAAGAACUGGAAGAGGAUUUGUCUGACAAAAUGGUCUUAGAAGCCCAAAACCUGAAGAAGUAGAUAUGAUUUUAUUAAUUAAAUUAAAAUGUGG